AUAUUAAUAAGCGGAGGAAAAGAAACUAACAAGGAUUCCCUGAGUAAUGGCGAAUGAAAAGGGAAAAGCUCAUAGAUUGAAUCGGGUGUUCCUAACGGACUCUCCGCGUUGUAAUCUUACGAAUGUAUGUUCAACCACGUGGACCCGGCAUAAACCUUUGGAAUAAAGGUGUUCAUAGAGGGUGAGAAUCUAUGACUCGGUGUUCUGACCAUGUGUUCCAAGAGUAGAGUAGGAUGGCAUUCCUGCUCGAAGAGGGUGGUAAACUUCAUCUAAAGCUAAAUACCGGCCAGAGACCGAUAGCGCACAAGUA
rnacentral:rRNA from 1 species